UAGCAUAUCAAUAAGCGGAGGAAAAGAAACUAACAAGGAUUCCCCUAGUAACUGCGAGUGAAGCGGGAAAAGCUCAAAUUUAAAAUCUGGCGGUCUUUGGCCGUCCGAGUUGUAAUCUAGAGAAGUAAUGCCCGUGCUGGACCGUGUAUAAGUCUCCUGGGAUGGGGCGUCAUAGAGGGUGAGAAUCCCGUCUUUGACACGGACUACCAGUGCAUUGUGGUAUGCUCUCAAAGAGUCGAGUUGUUUGGGAAUGCAGCUCAAAAUGGGUGGUAAAUUCCAUCUAAAGCUAAAUAUUGGCGAGAGACCGAUAGCGAACAAGUACCGUGAGGGAAAGAUGAAAAGAACUUUGGAAAGAGAGUUAAACAGUACGUGAAAUUGCUGAAAGGGAAACGCUUGAAGUCAGUCGCGUUGGCCGGGAAUCAGCCUUGCUUUUUGCAUGGUGUACUUUCUGGUUGACGGGUCAGCAUCAAUUUUGAUCACUGGAAAAGGCUCAGGGGAAUGUGGCAGCUUCGGCUGUGUUAUAGCCCUUGUUCACAUACAGUGGUUGGGAUUGAGGAACUCAGCACGCCGCAAGGCCGGGUUUCGACCACGUUCGUGCUUAGGAUGCUGGCAUAAUGGCUUUAAGCGACCCGUCUUGAAACACGGACCAAGGAGUCUAACAUGCCUGCGAGUAUUUGGGUGGAAAACCCAGGUGCGCAAUGAAAGUGAAAGUUGAGAUCCCUGUCGUGGGGGAGCAUCGACGCCCGGACCAGAACUUUUGGGACGGAUCCGCGGUGGAGCAUGUAUGUUGGGACCCGAAAGAUGGUGAACUAUGCCUGAAUAGGGUGAAGCCAGAGGAAACUCUGGUGGAGGCUCGUAGCGAUUCUGACGUGCAAAUCGAUCGUCAAAUUUGGGUAUAGGGGCGAAAGACUAAUCGAACCAUCUAGUAGCUGGUCCUGCGGUU
rnacentral:rRNA from 1 species